rnacentral:rRNA from 1 species
GCAAGUCGAACGGUGGCACGGGUGCUUGCACCUGGUGGCGAGUGGCGAACGGGUGAGUAAUACAUCGGAACGUACCUUAUCGUGGGGAAUAACGCAGCGAAAGCUGUGCUAAUACCGCAUAAUCCCUAAGGGGGAAAGCUGGGGAACGAAAGACUUCGCGCGAUUAGAGCAGCCUGUGUCUGAUUAGCUUGUUUGUGGAGUAAAAGCCCACCAAGGCGACGAUCAGUAGCUGGUCUGAGAGGACGAUC